rnacentral:lncRNA from 1 species
AAAAUAUAAUAAUAAUUACUAUUAUUAUUAUUAUUUAAAUAUUUCCCCAAACUCUACAAUAAAAUAAAAAAAUUUAAAAAUAACUUUAGUAAUUAAAAAAUAAGGACAAAAGGAAAAAAGCAAAGUGAGAAAAAAGGCAUACUGAAAAGGCUAUUGAAAAAAACAAGUAAAUCCCAAGUCAAGGGUGGUAAGGGGGUGGGGAAGCCACAGCAAACCUAAAACAACACAAAAGCAAGUGAGCUAUAGUUGAGGGAUAUGACUUCCCAUUGACAUUGCCCCUUGAAAAUGAAGCAUUUUACUAGACCAGUUUUAAAGUUAAAACAAAAUAUUAGAGAAAGACGAAAACAAUAAGAGAAUAUUUACAUGGUUUGGCUACACAAGCCACAUCUACAAAUACAAAAAAUCAAAGGGGCAAUUGUAUCUUAUUUCUCAUAAUACAUAAGCUUCUGCAUUUUUAUAUUUAUAUGUGUGUGUGUGUGCAUCUGCUCGUGCGUAUAGAGAUAGAGGUACAUAGAAUAAAUAAACUAGGAAAACUAAAUACGAACUUAUAAAAACCCCCUAAAAUGGAAUUGAUAUAAAAUACAUACUGAUUUUUCGUAACACACCCUCUUAAUUCUAAGCAUACAAUAUCAUAAAUUCUAAUACUCCCCCUUAACGAGAUUCUAACUAAAGCCAACAACUUCCUCGCAACAGCUCAAAAAAAUAAACACAACACACAGCUCACAGGGCAGAUUCCAGAACAACUAAACAAAUGCAGCCACACAAAGUAUCAAAACACAAAAUAAAUCCUUAGGAUUGCACUUCCCCCUCUGAAGUGACAGCAGUGAGGAUACAUCAACAAAUUAACUCACAAGAUCACACUUCUCUCUCUAAAGGCAAUGCCAGCAAGAAAACACCAAUACGAGCAACUAACAAGGUUCCAGAAGACACAACAAUCAGAUGCAAAAACUUGUGCCAUGAACAAUGCCAAUGAACAGUACCAGUAAAUAGUACCGACUCUCAACUGAACAAAACCCUGAUACCAUGUUAAAGUUAAAAUAAGAAAAGAUAUGGAAGAAAAUAAUAAGAGAAUAUUAUGUACUUAUGCCACGGGAACCUACGUCCAUAGACAUAAAGCCUCAAACAACUACAUCUUUAUCCAAUUGUAUCUUAUUCCUCGAAAUACAUAAGCUUCUAUAUUUAUAAUGGAAGGCCGAAGAUCUAAAACAUAUAUGGAAUAAAUUAAAUAUGAAUAUAUAAAUCAAAAUAUUCUUGUUCUCCAACUAAAUAGAAAUAUAUAAAAUGCCCCUAAAUAGGGAUAAAUAUGUAAAAUACAUAUAAAAAUUUUAUGAUGAUUAUCAUUAAAAAAAAUAAUCUAAUAUUUUGUCAAAGUCUAUUGAAAAUAAAUAAAUAAAUAACUGCUCUAGUAUCAAAAAAUAAGGGUAAAGGAAAAAAACAAAAUGAAAAGAAAAGACAUCCCGAAAUAGAAAAUUAAUCCCAAGGCAGGCAGGAAAAAAGGCCACUGCAAUUUAAAACCAUGCCACUAUUGCAUGAGUAUACACAUCAAAGCCAACAUAUUUAGUUGCAAAUCAUACUAGCUGGAGUUUUUGAAAGUUUCUGAUAUUAAUAUACGAGAACUCAUCUCCAUAUCCUUUUUAACAUAGGGAUUGCUAUGUUUCAAAUGAAUCAAAUCUGAAACCAGAUAGGACAGUUGAGCUGCUGCAACCAUCAACAGAUACGAUGUAGGCUUUGUAGACUGUAGGUUUUUUGAAGCAAUUCAAACUGCAUGUAAAAUAUUUUCUUAAAUAGUUUUAUUCAAGAAAUAUCUUAUUCAAAACACUUUCAUUCAAUUAUAUACAAAUCUUGCUUCUUCCCUUUUUCUUAAUUUAAGGGUAUCCUAUUCCUAUCAGGCAGAAAUGUACACCGUUCAGACUUGUUCAAAGCAAACAAAGACUAACCAAUGUUAAGGCAGAAAAUGUAAUUGCCAGUAUUCUUUCAUCCCCUAAAUCUGUCAAACCUUCAUAAGCAACAUGCAAAUUAUAACAACCAAUAUUUAAAAGGUAAAAAUAAAAACUAUUAAAAAAAGAUCAAUGAAGAAAAGGCGGGACAAUAUGAUAAAAUUUGCAUCAAACACUGAAAAACUAAUAUAUUCCUACCUGCAUUAUUUUCCACAUUCUUCCUAUACUUUUUGUUUGAUUUUUUGGGGAGUGGGAGUUUUUGGGGGAAUGGAUAUCCUCAGUGGCAUUUCAUUUUUUGCAUCAAAUUAAAAAGAGAAUGAGGAUAUGGUUAACAGAAGAGGAAAAUUUUAAGUAGUAUUAGGAAUAGUUAACAAAAUAUUAAAGGAAGAGUUGAGAAAGGAAGGCCGCAGGAACCUGUAGCUGGAUACUACAAACAGCCCAGAGCAAAAACCUUUCUUCACCAACGAGCUUGUACAUUUUGAUGGCUGUCUGCGGAAAAAGAUAAAACCACAGGUAGCAAUAGGCGUUCUAUAACCCAUUGAAAAGAAAUGUAACAACUUAGAAACAAGAAAAUUGAGAUAUGAAACCAGAAAACCAACCUGUUGCUGCUUCACGAAUGAAUAUUCACGAACAUAACAGUUAAAAAGCCCCAUCAUUAGUUCCAAAUUAUUUGGAAAUUUACCAGAAGCAUACUCAUAACAGCCAGUAGCCAAAUCCACUGAUUACAUUUAAGAGGGAGAAAAACACCAAAAAAUAAAAUAAAAUACAACAUCCCCAGAAAUAGUAUGCAUUAAACAAGUUCUCAAAAGGCAUUUCAAGUUUCAACCAAGUAAACAAAGCAUAUACUGACAGUGAUCAAGACGCUGGAAAACAAUUUGCAGCGUACUGAGAGUGAGAUCAUCCAUCAAAAGAGACUCAUUUUUAUACAAAAGCUCCUUGGCAUUCAAGCAAAUGGAUAAUGCUUCAUCAGAUUUACCCAUCCUUUCCAAAAUUAAAGCUUUCAGUGCCUGCAGAAGCACAAGAUUUCAAACAAAAAAGCUAAAAUCCGCAUCUAAAGAGAGAUUACACAAAUAACCUGUAUCAUCUACAGUAACAGUAUCUAACUUACAAGAGCGUAAGGUGAAUUUGGGUAUUUAGAGAGCAGAACACUGGACAGUUUGAGAGCGUUCUUGAACUGCCGAGAAUCUAUGGCCUCCCAUAUCUGUCGUACCCGCCGCUCCGGUAUACCGCCAGCUAAGCCGAACUUGGAAGCCAUUAGAGUUCGAUCUCUGUGCGUGUGUAGCUGUCGGGGUAAUUUGAAUUGGCGAAAUUGGUGAAAGGAAUAAGGUUACGGUUUAAGUCGUGUAUCUGUGUGAUGAUGGAACUGAGAUUGUGGGAAGUGGGAAACCUAAUCGGAGUGUUUGGAUGCGAGAGUAAGAAAACACGCUGAUACGAAGAAGACGCUACCACGAUUUUCAAACCCGGUUACAUAAAUUAUUAUGGAGAAUUACUAAUGCCUAUUUAAAUUAAUCAAUUAAAAUGUUAUUAAUUCUAUAAAAUAAAAUGUUCAUGAAUUCUACAAAACAAACUGUUCAAUCCUUAUAUCAAUGGAACCAUUAACUAAAUCCUUAUAAUUUUAAUCAUAUAUAUUAUUUAAUUUAUAAAAUUUUAAAUAUUUAUAAUAUUUAAUCUAUUUAAUGAAAGUUAAAAUAAAUUGGUUAACAUUUUUUAUAUAAAAACUAUAAUUUGAUUUUAAGAUUAUGUUAAAAAAUCAAAACUUUUUGCAUUUUAAUAAUUCUAUUUUAAAUAAAAAAUUUUAAAUUAAUAUAUCCUAAACUAUACACAUGAAUUUAUUUUAUAUUCUACAAUUAAAUUAUUCUAUUAAAAUUAAUACUUAUUGUCACAUAAUUGUUCUAACCAUAAAUUAAUAUUUUAAUAUAUCUCUAAAUAAAAAUAAAUAAUUAUUAAAAAAAAGCCAAAACUUAAUAUUUCUAAUUGAGUGUACUUUUAAACUUUUUUAUAUAAAUUAUAUUUUCAUUUCUUAAUUUUAGUAUAAUUAAUAAAUUAGAUUUUAUAUUUUUAAAAUUAACACUUAAAUCUUUUUAUAAUUAUUUUGUUCAAAUUAAAAAUCUUUCCAUUUAUAAUUCUAUUAGUUAACAAGUCAAUAGGAGAAUAUGUAUUUCAAAAUUUAAAAUACCAUUGUGAACACUUGAAGUCCAUGCUAAUGUGUUGUAAAACAUUUUAUUUUGGAUAAAUUAUAUUAUACUCCUUAAAUUUUAGCAUAAUUAACAUAUCUGUCCUUGUAUUUUUAAAAUUAAACUAUUAAAUUUCUCUAUAUUUAGUCCAUUCAAAACUAUCGUCCUUCCAUCCAUCAUAAAUGUUAGUUCAAAGUGAAUGGAUAGUCAAACUUUUAAAAAUACUAUUUUUUUCUUAAAAUACUUUUCGUAAAAGUCUACAACCUACUUAAAACUACUUUUUGUAAAAGUUUACAAUCUACUUAAAACUAUUUGAUAUCACAUAAAAAUAGUUAAAUUUGUAAGUUUUUUUUCUGAAAAUUAAACAAAAAAGUCAAUUUUUAAAAUUAUUAGACAAAAGUUACCAGGGAUUUAAAUAUUUUUUUCAAAUGAAAAAUGAAGGAUCAAAGUACUUGAUAUUUUUCUAUUAUAUUUCUUCAGGUAUAAGCCUACGAAAUAGGAGAAAAUAGUAAGUAGAUUGUCUUGACAACCUCUUUGAUGAUUAAGUUAGUAUGUGUAUUGGGUAAAAUAUGGAAUUGACUGUUUAAGAGAAUAGUGUACCUGUAUAUAGAGUCAUGAGAUCCUCGUAUAAUGCAUGAGAUAGAAUUUGAAUACGAUUAGGAGCAUAUGAGAUGAUAGAACUAUAUCCAAGAUAGGAUAUGGAAUCUUGUAUGAGAUAAAAUAAUUAUAUAAGGAUAAUAUUCUAAUAUGGAUAAUGUCCAAUUUCAGUUAGGAUUCUACUAUUUUAUUAAGAGAUUUAUAAAGUAUCUAAAUUGUUAAUGUAUUUUGGAUUAUUGGGACCUAAAUCUAAUAUAUAUUUUUAUAUCUAUUUAUAUCAUUAAUCCCUGCAUCAAGUGAUUGAAUAUUUAGGUUUGAUGUUAAGGGAUGCAUUUUAGAUUUAAUACUCUAGUCAUUUAAAGUUCAAAUCGUUUUAGACUUUUUGAAAAUUAAAAAAUUUAAGAGAGUUGUCUCCUUUAAAGGCUUUAGACAAGAUGUUGUUUUAAAGAUUUUAAGCAAAUUAUUUCUUUGAAAAUUUAAGCCAAACAUUAUCUAUCCUUUGUCUCCGCAAAAUGUAAGUGGUAAUUUAUCGGUAUAAUGAUCUUUGAAUGAUAAACGGUUGAGCUAAUUUUGAUAUUUGCCGAACAAAUUAUGACAAAUAAUCAUCCUAAAAAGAAAAUACCUCAUAAUGAUGAAGACUCACCUUAGAACAAUGAAAACUUAUUUUAGAAUAAUGAAGAUUCACUUUAAAUUGAUCAGGAAAUAUUUUAUGUUGGUAGAAAACUGCAAAAAUUUUAACGAUUAAUCAUCCUAGAAGGCAAAAGGUCAUAAAAAUGGGCAGUAAAGUGCCUGAUAUGGGUAAAAUGUUAUUUAAGUGGGCACUAAAGCACUUAAGGUAGGCAAAAUAUUGCCUAAAUAGGCGUUAGGAUACCUAUGAUGGGCAAAAAUUGCCUAAGUGGCGAUAAGGCACAUGAGAUGGGUGAAAUAUUGUUUGAGUGGGUAUUAAGAAACAUGAGGUGGGUAAAAUAUCAUCUAAAUGGGCUCUAAGGCGCCUAAGAUGGAAGAAAUAUCGUUUGAAUGAGUGUUAAGGUGCUUGAAGGGGGCAGAAAGCCGCCUUAAUGGGCACUAAGGCGCCUUAGGUGGGCGCUAAGUCACCUGAGAUAGGCAGAAAGCCGCUUGAAUGGGCAUUUUAAGGCAUCUGAGGUGGGCGAAAAAUCAUCUGAGUGGGCAUUUUAAGGCACCUAAAGUAGGCGCUAAGACACCUGAGAUGGGCAGAAAGCCACCUGAGUGAGCAUUUUAAGGCGUAUGAGGUGAGCGAAAAGUCACCUGAGUGGGCAACAAGUCGCUUGAAUUUGAGGAAGAAACUUUCAAUGUAUAGGGCGUACUAUAACUUUAAAGUUGUGUCUAUUUUAUAGGUGACAUGACAUUUUGAAACUCAUCUAUAAAAUUAAAAAUAAUUUUGAAUUAAUUAAAGUAUGUAUAAGUUACUCUUUGAAUAUUUCUACAAUUAUAAGACUAAAAGAAAUAUAUAUAAUAAAAAUAAUAAUAGCAAAGCAGGACAACUAUGUGUUAUGGGAAUUUCAUAAUUCAAAUCAAGUCAUUUUCUACAAUCUUAAUAUUAUACAUAUGUAGGCAUAAUAUGAAAAUAUUUUGGCUAAUAUGGUUGGAAAAUGAAAAUAUAAAUUUAAAAAAAAUUGAAUUUACAUGAGAUGACUCGUAAUGAUUUAUGAUCCCAAAGUUACUAGAGUCUAAUAGAGAUAGAAAAUAAAUACAAAAGCAAGAAGCAAUUAUUGAUUACUGCUUGUUAUUAGGCACAUAGAAUUAUUUGGUUGAUGUAGGUAAAUUAGGAGUAAGCAUUAUUCAAUUUAAAUUGAAAAAACUGAUCGAACCAAAUUAAUUUAAAAAUUCGAUUCGAUUUUUUAUUCAUUUCAGUUCAAUUUUUCAUUUUAAAAAUUUCGGUUAUUUCGGUUCGAUUUGAUUUUGAUCAGAAAAAAUCGAAAAAAACUGAACUGAACCGAUUAGUAAUAAUAAUAUAUUAUUUUCAAUAAUAUAGAGAGAUUAAAUCAUAUUAAAGUUAAAAUAUUUUAAUUAAAUUUUAAAAUACUAAAAAUAAAGUAUAAAAAAUAAAGAAUUUAUUAAAAAUUCAAACCGAUCAAAUUAAACUAAAUCAAAUUGAAUCAAACUAGUUCUGUUUGAUUCAGUUUUUGACCAAAAUCAUUCGAUUUGAUUUUUAUAAAUAUCAAAAUUUUAAUUUUCGAUUUAUUCGGUUUGGUUUGAUUUUAAAUCGAACCGACUGAAUGCUCACCUUUAAUGUAAACAUGGCAAUCUUGCCAAUAAAAAUAAUAAAGACCUUUUUUUCUUUUUUUUUAUAAUAAAUGAAUCUUUUUAAGUAAUUAAUAUUAUGGCAGAUUUUGUAAUUUUUUUAUAAAAAGAACUUUAAUAAAGGAUCAAUACUGAUAGACUUUAUGUUUAAUAAAGCUUGUGGAAUUUAAAAGUAAUAUUAUGUUCAAUUUAUUUAUGUGUUUGCGUAUUUUAUAAAAUAAAUUUAAAAGAGAUUAGAGCAUAUACCCAUAUAUAGGAUCAAAAGCAAAAAUAAGAUAUAAAAAGAAAGAAACUCUUGAUGAUAAUUUAAAUUACCCACACUUCUAUCAUUUAAUGUGAAAUAAUAAGGAACUAAAUAGUUCUAAUAGGAUGUAGUUGCCUUUAUUAACUCUAGAAAUUAAUUUUUAGAUUUGUUGUUGAACUUAAACAUUUUUAGUUUAUAUGUGUGUUUGGAGAGAAAAACAACAUAAGAUUUACUAUCUCAAUACAAAUAUAUAUAAAUAUAAAUAAGGAUUUCAUGAAAACUUUGGUCCAUUUGUAGGCCUUGUAAUCAUAUAUUAUACUGUAAUCAUUUCGUGCAAUGGUAAAGUAAAAAUACGGGUUGCUAAAAUUGAAUUUUUUUUUUUCUAAGUUAAACAUAGAUCACACAUGAAUGGGCUCCUCACUUGAUGAUACCAUAACCAACAUCUCGUUUUGACUUUACUUGCCAUUCCAACAAUUUAAUCUCAAUAACAAGAAGCUAAAAGUUGGACAUCACAUGCUCAUUCACGUGUUUCUCUUGAACAGGUAUUUACACUCGUGUUUUACUUACAAGUUGACUUUUAUCCCUCUUAUGAACUCAUUUCUCAAUAUUCAACUUAGGAAUGUUGCACUUUGGAACCAACAUACAACACAAGACUAAUAAAAUUGCAAUAAGAGGAAUUAAAUGAUGACAUCCUAAAACAAUAAAGAAAUGUAACAACAAAACUAGAAACAAGCAUGCACAUAAUAAAACACUAGCACACAAUGGCAAUAAGUAUGCUAAAGAUGCAAUUUAACAAGUAACAUGUAGCAACUACGUCAUCCUAUGUGUAUGAAAUGCCAAUAAAUGAAAUGAAACAAAGAUAAUAAAGAUUAAAAGAAAACAGUAAUAUAAAAGUAAAACAAAUUUCACACUCUCUUAACAGGAACGAAAACUGACCCUAAACUAUAUACUAAUAAUUGAAAGCUCUAAACUAGUAAAAGCCACCCAAAAACAACAACUUUAGGUGUGUAACAAUUCCAACAACUCAAAAUAGUAAUUUUAGUCAAGCUACAGGUCAAACAAACUAUAAAGUUGUCAUUUUUUCUUUCUUUCAACUUUAAAAAAUGAAUUUCAAUAAUCAAGUGUCUUUUUUCUUUUGAAAAAUUUACUAUUUAGUCUCUAUAUUUUGAAAAAACUCAUUAAUUGGUCUUUCUAUUUUGAAAAAUAUAUUAAAAUAUCCUUGAUAUUUUAAUAUCUAUUAAUUGGUCUAUUCAUUAAUAUUAAUAAUUAAAUAUUAUAAAAAAGUCUAGAAUAUUCUUAAUAUGGAAAAAUUAAUUAGUAUAUUUUUUUACAAAUAUGAAGGAACAAACAAUGAGUUUUUCCAAGCCAUGUAGUUUAAAUAGUCAAACACUUAACGGUAAAAAUUAACGAAUGGAUUAACUAAUAGACUUUUUAAAAUGUCAAGGACGUUUUAAUGUAUUUUUCAAAAUCGAUAGACUAAUUAAUGUAUUUUUUCUUUUCUUUUCUAUGAAUUUUUCAAAUCAAAAUAUUUCUUGUUUUUUUUUUUUUUCACUAAAACUUAUGGUAAUAUGGAAUUGAGAAGCAAACAUAACAAAUGAAAUGAUAAACAAGUUACCAAAAUAAGAAAACAAAUUGACUCAACGAAAUAAAUAUAACAAUAACUAUAACUAUAAAAUUAAAGUUGAACAAUAUAACAAUCAAGAUAGAUAAAUUGAAAUUUAUUUAUAAUUAAUAUUCUGAUACGAAUUGAUGCAAAACCCUGGAUUAACAAUGCAAUAUAAAAUCUCAAUACAUAAUAAUAUCAAUUCACAUGCCAAGAUUAUUCUAAGCAUGCUAAUAUACUCUUGAAUAAUAAAUAAAUAAGAACGUAGAUAAUCAAACAAGAAACAAGGAUGAAAUCGUUAUGAAAUUACUAAACUUGAUAAGAUGCCAAUUCUUGAUACAAUACAAAGUUAAACAAAAUUUUCUCUAGAAUUUUAUUAACCAAAAAAAAUUUUAAUGUUUACAAACCAUGUUAAAAUCAUGGUUACCACUUAAGGGGUCUUUUUAUAGCCUCCAAAACCUAAUUUUAGUCUUUAAAGACUUAAUUAUAAUAUGAAAAGAAUAUUUGGUCAAAUAGUCAAAUUUAAAUUAUAUUAAAUAUUCUUUUUCUAGAUUGCUUGGAGAAAUCUUUCUCCUAAAUGGGUUGUAUAAAUUUGCUUCUAAAAAUGGGCGUAAUUAAUUCAAAAUAAGUUCAAUAAAAUACUAAAAUACCAAAAUAAUAAAAUAGACUUAAGUGCAAUUCAACCAUAUGUAUUAUGUAGCUAAAAGAUAGGUUGUAACCAAGUUACAUUGCAUUCUUUUUUUCAGCUUCAUUAGUCAUUUGCUUCAUUUAUGUUCACGAAUACUUCAUCUCAUGGAUUAUCAUGUGUUACGAAUUUGGGCUCAUCUUCAUAUGCAUCAAUUCCUACACGAAUAAUUUGUUUCACAUGUGAUGUCUUUAGGAUUAUAUACUUCUAAGUUCCCCAAAUGAAAGAAAUGAUGUUUUGAAAAUGUUACAAUAACAACUAGUAUAAUAUGUAUAACAUCUUUAUCUAAGAUGCAAGUGAGUUGCAUGAAGAGUUUGUGAAUAUAUAGUAAACUCCAAAAGGGCCUUAUUUUCGAUAUAAAAGUGUGUUAAGAACAAGACAAACUUGCUAGACAUGUUAUAUAGUAGUAAUUGUUCAUGUUAAGUUUAUUAGUAGCAAUAUUAAAUGGAGGUGGCCUUCUCAAUGUGAUUGAGUUAAGGUUGAAGUCAUGGUAGAUUUCAUUCUAUAUUUGGAUAUGAUCCAUCAAUCCUUCUAAUUGUUGCCUAUUAGUUUGAGGUAAGCUCAUACAUGAACAUCUUAUAUUAUACAUAUGCAAAAUUAUUAAAGAUAAUUAAAUAGUUCAAAGGCCAAUGAAGAAAAUAAGAAGGAACGAAGAUAACACAAGAGUAAAUAUUUCAAUUGCUAUAAGGUAAGGAUUGCUUGAAGUAACAUUGAUUUUCAAACUAAAAAGUGUAACAAAACCUUCUAAAAGUGGAUGUCUACAACUUAUUAUUAAAGUUUUAAAUAGUAUCUAAAGGUUAAUUGUUUGCUAACAAUUACAAAUGUUACGAUGUAGAUGGAAUUGUGAAUAAAAAAGUUUGUAUAUAUAAGGAUAACAUACACUAAUCUAGCUAAAAGGCAAGAGUUACAACAUAAGCCAAAUAUAUGUUUAUUUAAUAUAUAAAGAUUGUUUUGGAUAGACCAAUUGUAAAUUAAUUUAAAGCUUGUAAACAUCAUAUCUAUAGCGAGUAUAACUUGUAAUAGUCAUGAAUAUAAUUUAUGGAUGAUGUAUCUAUGUUAUUUAGUAAAAUAAAAUAUUAGCUUUAGUUAUUUACUCAUGAUCUUAAUUUCAGUAAUUGUAAGAAAAUAAAUUCAAGCUAUUAGUUGUAGUUAAUACAUUAUUUGAAACUCAUUUUAAUUUAAAAUAAACUUAGUUUUAACGAUUGUAUCAAAUUAUUAAUGAAAUUAUCACUAGUUUGGAAAGAAUAUGGGAACUAAAUUCUUCUUUGGAUCAUGGACCUGCACCUACCAAUAGUUUUUAUCCUCAACAAAAGACGACUACAACUAACCUUAUAUGACUAGGACAAAAAUGAAAGAUUUUUAGAAUUGGUACAUUUGAUAUAUAUGGUCCAUUUUUGAAAUGAAUAAAAGGUAUUUUUGAAUACUUUGAGGUAAUUAGCUUUUUGAAAUACAAAUAUUAACUCUUUGAAUAAUUCAAAGACUUCUAGUUUAAAGUCUNNNNNNNNNNNNNNNNNNNNNNNNNNNNNNNNNNNNNNNNNUAUAUAUAUAUAUAUAUAUAAAUGUAAUGGUCAAUGUUCAAGGGAAAAACCCAGAAAAUAUUAUAAAAAGCAUCAAUAUUAUAAAAAAACAAUAUAUUAAUAAACCAAGUAAAGAAGAAUUUUAUAAUAAAAAGAAAAGUUAUAAACCUUACAAGAAAUAUAGGAAGAAGACCCCAGUAAAUAAGGCCUAGAAUAAAAAAUCAUUUAAAAAUUUAACAUGUUAUAAUUAUGGACAAAAAGGUUAUACAUCUAAAUUUUGUAGGUUUAAUAAAAAACUAAAUGAGUUAAAAUUAGAUGAAGAGAUAAUAAAUAAAAUUCAGGAAUUAUAUAUAGACUCAGAAAAUUCAAUAUCAGAAUUAAUAGAAAGUGAGAACCAGAUAGAUGAGUUAGGAACUAGCUCGUCAGAAAAUUCAGUAAGUGUACUAACUAAAGAACAAUGUUCAUUAUUGGAAUUAAUAAAUAAUCUAGAAGAUAAUAGUACUAAGGAAAAGUUUCUUAAAAAAUUAAUAAAAAGUUUUGAUGAAGCAGAAGAAAUUAAAAAUACUGUUCCUAAAAUAGAAAAACAAACUUAUGAUUUAAGUAAAAUAUUAAGUAAAGAUAAAAAAUUUAAAGAAACAGUAUCUAUAGAAGAAUUGCAAAGAGAAAUCAAAAUAAUAAAAAUUAAAGUAAAAGAUUUAAAGUAUCAGCUUCAGAAGGAUUCAAGAAGGAUAAAAUUUUUGGAAGAACAAUUAAUUUUUGAAUCGUCUUCUUCAUCUAGAAAAGAAGAAGAUGAUGACCAGAAUGAAAUAAGUCAAUUAGAUAAUAAAGAAGUAAAUAGUAAUUUUAUAUUAUUAUUACAGGAAAGAACUUCUAGAAAAUAUUUAAUAAAAUUAUCAGAAGAAUUUGUAGUAAACACUAUAGCAUUAUUUGAUACAGAAGCAAAUUUAAAUUGUAUAAAAUCAAGUCUGGUACCUAAGAGAUUUUGGAUCAAAACUAAAGAAAAAUUAUCUGCAGCUAAUAGGACUAAAUUAAAUAUAUUAGGUAAAACAGAAGCAUUUGUAGUAAAUUAGGACUUGAAAAUAAAAAUUGUAUUUUUAUUAUCCUAGCAGAUAAAUCAUAUGAUAAUAUUAGGAACUCCUUUUAUAAGCCUUAUCACACCUUAUUCACCUUAUUCAGUAAAAGAUAAUUGUAUAAAAUUUAAAACAAUGAAUAAAACAAUUAAGUUGGAAUUCACAGAAAAACCAAAAAAAAAAAAAAUUAAAUCUAAUAAAAGCACAUUCCAUUAGGACAAUGGAAAUAAAUUCGAUGAUAAAAUCUAAGUCAAAAGAUUUAAAAGAUCUAAAAAAUAAUGUACAUUUUAAUAGAAUUAAAAGUCAAUUAGAAAAAGAAUAUAUAAAGGAGAAAAUAAAAAAUUUAAAAGGUUAUAUGGAAAAGGAAUUAUGUGCAGACCACUCGAAUGCAUUUUGGAAUAGGAAACAGCAUCUGGUAGACUUGCCAUAUGAAGAAAACUUUUAUGAAAAAACUAUUUCAACUAAGGCCAGACCCAUUCAAAUGGCACUAGAAUUACUGGAGCACUGUAAAAAAGAAAUUAAAGAAUUAGAAGAUAAAAAAUUAAUAAGUAAAUCAAGAAGUCCUUAGUCAUGUGCAGCUUUUUAUGUUAAUAAAAAUGCAGAAAUAGAAAGAGGUAUGCCAAGACUAGUCAUAAAUUAUAAACCAUUGAAUACAACAUUAAAAUGGAUUAGGUAUCCAAUCCCUAAUAAAAAAAGAUCUUUUAAGUAGAUUAUACAAUGCAAAUAUUUUUAGUAAAUUUGAUAUGAAGUCAGGUUAUUGGCAAAUCCAAAUUCACCCUAAAGAUAUAUAUAAAACUGCAUUUACAGUUCCAUUUGGACAAUAUGAAUGAAAUGUAAUGCCUUUUGGACUAAAAAAUGUACCGUCAGAAUUUUCGAGAAUAAUGAAUAAUAUUUUUAACCCUUACUCAAAAUUUUGUGUAGUUUAUAUUGAUGACAAAUUAGUAUUUAGCCAAAGUAUAGAAGAAUAUUGUAAACAUUUAAAAACAUUCUGUAUGGUUAUAAAAAAGAAUGGAUUAGCACUAAGUAAAACUAUAUUGAGCCGAAUUCCAAUGUCCUGAAGUAAAUUGGAUUAUCCUUUCUUUAUCAUCAAUUUUUUUAUAUAAAAUUCCUCCAUAUCCUAGAUCCGAACCAUCUGUUUCCACAAUUUUAAAUGCAUUUGGAUUUGGGAUAUACAAGUAAGGAAUUUCCUUUACCAAAGAUUUUAUAUGUCUUAUAAUGUUGGUAUGCUCUUCGGUCCAUGGCCCAGCAUUUUUCUUAAGUCUGUCAUGUAAUGGUUUUAUUAUUUUAUUUAAAUUUAGAUAAAAAUCUAUGACAUAGUUUAAGCAACCUAAAAAUCUCUGCAAUUGGGUUUUAUUAGUUAUUUCAUCAGGAAAUUUUUCUCUAAAUGCCAAGUUCUUUCUACUGGUUGGAUAAUACCUUAUUCUAUAUAAUUUUUCUCCAGUUCCACUAAAGCCCUUUCCGAGCAUUCGAAAGAACUCAGUAAAACCACCAUAAAACCCCAAGUAUCAAAUAAAAAUCCAGAAGAUAUAAAGAAAUGGAUAGAAGACUUGAGUAAAUCGCCAGAAAUCAUUAAAGCCCUGCAGAAUAUAGCGUCUUCUUCGGGAGACUCAGGUAUGGUUUCUAAAUCUAAAGUGAUCGUACCCGCUUAUGGUUUGGCUAGUCUGUCCCAAACGGUGGACAGUAAAUAGGGCUGAGCGUACAUCGGUUUAAACCGAAAAAUCGAACCGAACCGAUCGAUUUUGGUUUAAUAGUUCGGUUAAUUGAAAAGUUCGGUUCGGUUCGGUUAAUAUUUUUCAACUCAUUCGGUUUUCGGUUCGGUUCGGUUUAAACGUGUUAAAUAACUGAAAAACCGAAAAACUGAUUUUUAAUAUAUUUUUAAAUUUUAUAUGGAUUUAUAUGAAUUUUUUAAAUAUUAUCUUUAUAUAUUCAGACAAUUUUUAUUGAUAAAUUUAUGUGAAACAUUUAUUGAAUUAUUUUACUGAAAUUAGAAGAAAAAAAAUUUAAAAAAUACAGAUUUCGGUUUGAAUCGAAUCGAACCGAACCGAACCGAUUUUUAUCGGUUCGAUUCGGUCAGUUAUAUUUUUAUAAUCGGUUUUUUCGGUUUUUAAUAUUUUUACAAUUCGGUUUUCGAUUUUUUCAAUUCGGUUCGGUUCGGAACCGAACCGACCGAUUGCACAGCCCUAACAGUAAAGACUUAUCAAAUCCGUUGAAGGCUGUGGGUUUCCCAAAAAUCCAAUCUUCUCAAGGUUAUAACACUAGUUUUCAUAAAUGGGUUUUAAAAGGUAUUUCAGAAAUUGAAAUUGAAGUAGAAAAUGGUUUUAACGACAUAAAUCCUUAGGAAGUCAUCAGAAAAUAUUAUCCUGAGAAUUGGUAUUUCGUGCCAAAAGAUAUUUUAAAACCUCAGGAAUAUUAUCAAAGCAUUUUGGAAGAAACAAGUUCAGUUAAAAUAAAACACAAUUUUGAUAAACAUCAUAAAGGCAUCAUAGCAUACUCUUCCAUUCAAAUAAAAUGGGUCAUCCAUCCAAAAGAUUGGCCGACCUCGAGUUUACACAAUGCAUUAUCAUUUAAAGUUUUAAAAAAGUAUUCUACCUUAUAUAAUUAUUUUGAUUACAUAGAUGCAUGGAGAAAUAUUUUUUGUAUUCAAAAUCCAACUACUACUCAUUCUUGGUUGAUAUAUUUCGAUCAACAAAGUAUUAAAUCAACUACCAGAUUUCCAAACUGGUUUUUAAAAUGGUGGCAAGGUAAAGGUAUUACUGAUGAUAUCCUAUCACCAGAAGUACUCCAAGUAUACCAGUAUUUUAAAACCAAUUAUAAACUACACCAGAGUGAAAAAUAUAUACCCCCUUUAAUGUAUUUCUGUACACAGUUUUUUAUUCCGUGGGUAUAUCAAUGGUAUUUUGAUUUUCAGUAUACAACAGAAUUGAAUUUCGGUAAUAGUAAAAAAACACAAAGUAAAAUGGUGGGGAUCAUUUAGAAAUUCCACCACAGAAAUGGUUGUAAAAAACUGGAUACUUAAAAAAGCACAGUUUCCUACUGUGUCUUAUGCUGAUAAAUUAACUUUGCAAGGAGAGCCAUCCUUUGGAGUUCAAAAAGCCCAAUGCCAGGCCUUAUUAGCAGCAGCUAAAAUCCCUGAAGAAUAUAAGAUGAUUUGUCAGCAGAUGUUCAAUCAACUUACUUCAGGAGAAAAAGAAAAAAUAAAGCAAUCCUUUGAUAAGGAAUCGUCGAAGGAAUCCUUUGGUAAAUAAAAGAAGGCAUCUAGCAGAAGAAAAGUUAAAAAACAGUCAAGCUCAGAAACGGAGUCGACAGCGUCAUCAAGCACGUCAUCCUCCAGUAAAAAUCCGGCAUCUUCUCACUGUGACAGUAAUGAAGAUGAUUAUUAUGGGAUUCUCCCAGCCAUAAAAAUCCAAAGCAAGACAGACAAAGUAAACAGAAAAGAAAAAGAAAAGAAAAGGAAAGAAAAAAUAAAGAAAAAAGAAAAAGGAAAAGGAAAGAAAAAACGAGACACUUCAUCAUCCUCAUCUGCAGACUCAGAUUAAAAACAAACAUAGUAAAAGAAGUGGCAGAUAGAGUUCUAUUCAUCAACAGUUAAAAGUAAAAAGGAAGUGGCAGACAAACUAUUCGUCAAUAGUAAAAAGCAGAACAGUGGCAGACAAGUUACUAUUCAUGAACAGUAAAAUCCGCGUGAAUCAACAAUAAAGCCCUUGUGACUCAACAGUAAAAGCUCAGAAAUUUUCUAUAAAUAGGGAGCCUCUCCCCUUGUGACUCAACAGUAAAAGCUCAGACAGGUUAAGGUUGCAGGAGCCCUAGCCAUAAAAUAAAAUUUUUAUUUUAUUACUUGAUUUAAGUAUGCUCUCUGGUUGAGGCUUAGGCUGAUCUUCCACAUCAGAAAAUUGUCUAAAAUUGUUUGUUUGUUGCAUUCUGAUUCAUUUUGAAUCAUUUUAAUUAUCGAUCCUUUUGUGUUUUUGUUGGUAUCAGAGCCAUGUUAUUUGCAUGGGAAAGAAUGCAUUAUUUGAAAAUUUUGAAAGAAUAUGUUUUGGGUAUGCCAACUGAACCCGUUUUAGCCAGGGUUUUGGGCGUCAUAGGGUAUAACAGGCAGUGACCGCGACAUAGUUCAAGAUUUUUGAAAAUGGAUCCUUUUUUAUGUAAAUCAGCUAGUACAGUAAAAUCAGAUGAUUCAGAGACUUCAGAAAUUAAAAGAGUGAUAAAUAAAAAUGAGUUAAUAUUGGAAGAUUUUGUAAAAGCCAUAGAUGAGUGGGAAAUUCCUAAAGUAGAUAAGGAACAGAUUUAUAAAAUCCCAAAGUUUAAUGUUUUUAAAACAGACUAUGUAAUAAAAACAGAAGAAAGAGAUUUUCAGCUAAGUAAACCUUUUGAGAAAAUAACACUUUUAUCAUAAAAAACAUUAAAUUAUCAUAGGAGUAAAAAGUACAAGUAUAUUUAUAUAGGACUAAUUCAAGUAGGUAUAAAACCUUUAACUAGAGAAGGAUUAAACACUAGUAUUUUAGCAGUAGUAAGAGAUGCAAGAUUUUUAAAUUUUCAGGAUUCCUUGUUAGGAUCUAUUGAAACUAGUUUAAGUGAAGGACCUAUAUCCUUAGAAGUAUAUCCAGACAUGACAAUCUCAUUAAAUGACUUAAAUAUUUUAGAAAGUAUAGUUUUAGAAAUAAAAACUCAUAAUUAUAGGAUGAAACAAGGUUCCAUUCCGAUAGCAUUAAUAUAUAAAAUCCAUUAUAAAGCUAUGAAUUCGGCGUUUGGAACUAAGUAUAAAUUACAGCCUAAAUUGGGAGAAAUAAGAUUUUUACAGACAGAUUUAACUAAAACAAAUACGGUAAUUCCUAAAAUAAUUCAGUGGAAAGACAUAACCUUGCCAGAUGAAUGGAUAUUAGAAGGUAACUCUCUCUAGAACCAGAAAAGGUAAAAUCAAAUACAAAUUUAAGUAAAAUUGAGCAGUUUGAAGAUGGUAAAAUAUCGCUAAAAUUUAAUAGAAGUAUAAGUAGUAGAUAUACAGGAUCUUCAUCUUCAGAAAUAACAGAAGACAUAAGAAGAAUUUCAAACCUACCAUCAGUAAUAUAUACAACAUAUAAAGGAGAUGAAUCUAAACCAGUAAUUCAUACUAUAGUAAAACCCAGAUUUUCAACAUCGGAUAUCCCAGAUAGACACCUUAAAAUGAAAGGAGUCGAUUAUAGUUCUUCAGUACCCCAGGCGGUAUAUAAUCUGAUAGAAAACUAUUUAAAUCAGCAGGCUGAAAUAGCACCUUCAUCACCAUCAUCACCAUCAGCAUUUGUUAUAACAGAAAAUAUAAAUAAUAUAAAUAGAGAAUUAAAUGUACUUAGUAAAGAGAAAAUUGAAAACAAAUUUUUAAAGGAAAUAACCAAAACAAAAAAUUUAAGUAAAUUAAAUAAAAUAGUUAAAGAAUAUAAAUUUGAGGAUUUAAAAGAAGAAUAUCUUGAUUAUAUCAGUAAGAAUAAAGAAGAAAUAGGAUUUUUUGAAUGGUUCAAGUUAUAUAAAAAGAAAAGUAUAAAUCCAAUAACAAUAAGAGAUAAAAGGCCAGAAUGGAUAGUAAAUGAUACAGUAGUCUAGAGUGAAUUUCCGCAAAAAACGAUGAGUAAAAUAUUACAUGGAGAUAAAGAAAUAAUUUGUGCACGAUAUAAGGUAACAAAAGAAAAUGAUACAGAUAAAAAAAUAAUAGAGCAAAACAAUUUUAGUAAUACAAGUUUAAUAUGCAUAGGUACCCAAUUAAAAAAUAUGGAAAAGCUUUUAAAAAAAUAAAUAGAUAAAAGAAAAGGAGGAAGUAAAACCAAAAAUUAAAUCACAUAUUUUUAAGCCAUAUCAAGUCUCUAGCUCAAGUAAAAAAGAAUUAAAAAAUAAUAAAAAUGAAUUUUUACAAAGUUUAAAAGAUCAACUAAGCAAAGUAGAAACUUCUGAAUCUAGUAAAAAUAUAGUACAGGAGACUCCACAGUAAAAAAUUAUAAAUGUAAUACAAGAAGAAGAAUUAGAAACUGAAACUGAGCAGAGUCAGCCAGAUUCAGAAGAUAUAGAACAAUUUGAAAUAAAUCCUAUAUCGCAUAAGGAGAUAGUCAGUAGGGCACCGAACCUAGAAUUAAUAGAUAAACCAAGUAUUAAUUCUCAAUUUAAGUAUAAUGCUUCAACAGUUUACGAAUGGAAUAUAGAUGGAUUAUCUGAAUAUAAUAUAUUGAGUUUAUUGCAACAAAUGACCAUGGCAACCAAUGCAUAUAAAACCCAGGUUUUUGCUUCAGAUAGAGCAAUAGCUGAAAUUAUUAUAGCUGGUUUUACGGGACAAUUAAAAGGUUGGUGGGAUUACCACUUAACUGAUCAAGAAUAGUUAGACAUAUUAAAUUCAAUUCAGGUAGAUGGUGAAGGAGAACCAAUAUUAAAUGAAUUAGGGGAAACUAUUCAACAUGUAGUAUCAACAUUAAUUUUAACUAUUUCAUUACAUUUUAUAGGAGAUCCGUCCCAUUCAAAAGAUAAAAAUGCUGAAUUAUUGAGUAAUUUAAAAUGUAAAAAAUUAAGUGAUUUUCAGUAUUAUAAAACCACAUUUUUUACUAGAUUAAUGUUAAGGGAAGAUUCAAACCAAGAUUUUUGGAAGGAAAAGUUUUUAGUCGGACUUCCUUAUUUUCUAGGAGAAAGGUAAGAAACAAUAUAAAACAACACUAUGGAAAUCCGAUACCUUAUAGUAAAUUAACAUAUGGACAAUUGGAAAGUAUAAUUCAAAAAGAAGAUUUACAGAUUUAUCAUGAUUUAAAAUUGCAAAGAACAUUAAAAUAUGAGAUGCAUAAAACUAGACAGGAAUUAAGAUAUUUUUGUAAACAGUUUGAUUAUGGAAUAGGUCAGGAUAAAAAAUGUAAUGGUCAAUGUUCAAGGGUUUUAUAUAUAUAUGUAUAUAUGAGUUAUAUAUAUAUAUAUAUAUAUAUGAAAAUAGUAUUGCGGUUUUUCAUAUAAUCAAAAGGAGUGGAUACUUAAGAACUGAAUUCGAUGUAAUCCUUGUGGAAGUAUAUUAAGUCAUAAUUAAAAACCCAUCGAGAACACCAUAACAUAUGGAGUAUUUUAAAGAUUGAUAGUGUAUAGUGUUGGAUAUUGUGUCAAAUCAUAAUGAACUAUAAAAUCAUUUUUGCUAAUUGUUUUAAAGAAUUUGCAUGACACAUAGCUUUAUAUUUUCAUAAUUAGAUUUAAACUAAAAUAAGUUUCUACCACAUAUAUAUUAUACACAAUGGUUAAAAGAAAUCUUAAAGUACUAAGAUUAAAGACGUUUGAAAUGAAAAUUGUUAGGAAUAAGUUUGUUGGAUAUCCUAUACAAGAUUUGAUAUUUCAUAAUAAUUUUUCCAUAAAACUCUUACUAGUUGUUUUAACUUAAAAAUUAUGAUCCUUGAGAAAAGAUUUCUGCAAAGAAAAAAUGAUAAGGUUUUUAGAAAACGAAAUUAGAUAAAGGGUUAUCUAAUCAAUAAACUAAAUAAAUUAAAUAUCCUUCUAUUUUGAGGUUAAUCUUAUUAAUUGAUGUCUCCACCAUAAGUAUAUUGAAGUUAGUUUAUAUAUUUUUUGAAAAGAUAAAAUUAUAUUAAAUCGAUUAUAGAUUUUGGCAAAAGUUGUCAAAAUUGAAUUUCAAUAUUAAGGAAUGUAUAAUAUUAAAAAUAUUUCACAGUGUGUAUUCUAAAGGUAUUCUUUGAGUUCCUAAAUGAACUUUAAGAACUAAAAUUGUUAUUUAGCAUAAAACCAUAAAAAGAUUAUAUUGUGGAAUUGACAAGAAUAAUAGGGUUUGUGGUUGUAUAACAAGUUUAGUUGAAGUUAUCUUAUGAAAUUAUACAUUUGAGAUAUUUAAUUAAUAAGAUACGAUAAUUUACUCAAUAUUGUAAGUAACAAUAACUUAGUCCUUGUUCAUUAAGACCAAGAACUCAAAAAUUACUGACUUCUUACUUCUAAAGAUGUAAACAAAAAUAAUGAUAAUUUAUCAUAAUUAUUUGUUAUUAAGUAGGAUAUUGAAAGGUUUAAUGAGAUUGACUUUAAUAACACCUCACAUUUACUUAUACUUGUCUAGAUUGUUCAUGUAUAGAAAAGUAUUAUGAAAUAUUCUUAACACAAGAAAAAGAAAGAACAACUAUAAAAACUCAUGAUUUACAAAAAAACUACAAAAGCUCGUAAAUUUAAAAAUUAGUUGAACGGGUGAAAUAGAAGGUCUAUUUUUGGUUUUAUGUAUAAUAUGUAAUGGUGAAACAAGACUAUUUAGACUCUAUCAGAAGUUUUAACUAAUAUCAUUUGAUUAAGACGAAAUUUAGAAAGGCUAGAAGUUAAAAUUUCUUAUUGAAUUCUUGAAAAUUAAAAAGUUUCAUAAAUAGCCAAGAAAAUGACUAUUUAUAAUAGCAAAAAACCCUAAUGUGAAAAAUAUGAAAAAAAUUCUAAAUUAAUUAAAAUGUAAAAUUGACUCUCUAAACGAUGGAGUUUGGAUCUUGAAUUUUGUGACAGGCCAGUAACUCUUAUCACAUUUCUAAAAGUCAUCCAUCUCGAAAUUCUCUUUCCGAAAAGCUAUUGUGGCCUCCAACGAAUAUCAUAAGCAGAAGUUAAGCCUGCUUGAAGUCUUCUAUGAAAUCCCAGACUAAUUGCUCUGCAUCAUUCCCUUCCACUUGUAAAGAACUCGACCUCUAGUUGUCAUCAGCAGGGUAGUACUAAAAUAGAUCCACCACAUUAAAUGUUUUGGAAAUUCUCAUAUAAUCUGGGAGGUCAAGGAAAUAGGCAUUGUCAUUAAUCUUCUGAACAAGCCGAAAUGGACCAAUCUUCUUUGGGACAAGCUUUUUCUAUCCUUCGACACGUUCCUUGCAUAAAUACACUAUAACUUGAUCACCAACAUUGAAGGACUUGAAACGAUAUGUUUAUCGGCUGCAGUUUUAUACUUAUCAUUAGCUUUCGUAAAACAUUGUUGUACCUGUUUGAAAACGUCCACAUGCUGAUUUGUCAAGUUGUUUACUACAAUACUGUUAUGAAAACUAUAAGAAGGGCAAUAAGUUCAACUGUUUGCGCUGAAAUUUUUCUGUACAUAACUGCAAAUGGUGAUAUCUUUGUAGAGGUGUGGAUAGAACUGUUGUAAGCAAAUUCUGCUUGGGCAAGAGCAAGUUUCCAAGCAGUUUUCUUAUCAUUGCAAAUGCAACGUAGAAUAUUACCAAGAGUUCGGUUCACCACUUCAGUUUGGUCAUCGGUUUGAGGAUGAGCAGCACUGCUGUAUCGAAGUUUAGUCUCAAAAUACUUUCAUAAAGUCACCUAAAAGUGAGCUAGAAACUUCACAUCUCUGUCAAAAGUAAUAGUCUUAGGAAUGCCAUGUAAAUAAACAACCUUUUGGAAAAGCAGUUUUGCAACAUGAGAAGCAUCAUUAAUUUUCUUGCAAGGAAUGAAAUGCACCAUUUUGGAGAACUUGUCAAUGACAACAAAAAUAGAGCUAGAUCUAUGUUGGGUACGUGGAAGACUGAUAAUAAAAUCCAUAAUUAAGUCCUCCCAAGGAUAUUUUAGAAUGGGUAAUGGAGUAUAUAGGUCUGGAUUUUGUAAAUGACCCUUUUGAGUUUGACAAAUUGGGCACUUCUGUACCAUCCGACCUGUAUCCUUUUUCAAUUGUAGCCAAUAAAAGUGCUCUUCUAAACUAGCAAUAGUCUUAUCAUGUCCCAAAAAUGAAAAAUUGAAAAAAAAUUACACUGAAAAUGAAAUCAAAGUAAAAAUAAACAAAAAUAAAGAUUCUAUUUGAUAGAGCAUAUUUUAGUCCACUUUAUCAUUAUGUUCUUGAUGUUUAUUUGCAUCUUUUCUGCUUAAUUCUGUGGUUUUAAUCAUGUUUUGCAGAUAAUAGGUGUAAAGAGACAAUCCGGUGAAAAUACUCUUAAAACUGCCAAAAAGUGCCAAAUAUGGAAAGUGCCAAAAAAGAAAAGUUUUCAAAUAAGGAAAGUUUUCAGAAAAGGAAAGUUUUCAAAUAAGGAAAGUUUUCAAAUAAGGAAAGUGCAGAAGCAAAAGCAAAUAAGGAAAGCUCAACCAGAAGAUUAUUUGAAAUUCAAAUCGCAGAUCUUUCUUUCCUUGUUCAAAGAUGUGCACACACUGCAGCAGUCAUAUCUUCCUAUUUAGGCAGUAAGAUUUCAUGAAGACGCACUUGCCUCUUCCGCGUUCAGCAUUUAAAAUUCAAACGAAGGCUCCACCUAAAAAGGAAAGACUAGACAGAUUCACUUUCCCUUCUGCAUUCAAUGACCGCGUGCCCACCUUCCCUCUGAAGAGCAUCCGCGCGCCUCCUUCCUUCUGAAGCCCUUGCAACGCGAUUCUUUCCUUUUCAGACACAACUUGGGCAGCAAGUACCUCUUGGGCAGCACUUUCAACUAUAAAAAGACACAUAAGGAGCCUCCCCAUGCUUUUUCAAGCCCCCCUUGGAGGCACUUACGGGAUUGCAAGUGACACCAUCUCUUCUUCAUCUCUUUCUUUAUUUUUAGUUUUGUUUCAGCCAUGAGUGGCUGAAACCUUUUUUUCUAGUUGAAGAUUGGUUGAAACCUUGGUUGUUUUAUGGAUUGUGAGAUCUGAACAUAAGUUGUUUAUCUUUUGGUUAUUCAAUAUUUGUGCAAUUUCAUGCUUGAUUCCAUUAUUGCUUUGUUAUUUUGAUCAAUGUGGCCAAUUGAUUAUUGAUUGCAAGGUAAUAUAUUGUUAGUUUGAAUGAUUUUAAGUCCAUAAUUGCUUGGAUUAUUCAAACAUAAGAACACUUGGUGUAAAACCAAGAAAAUUGUAUGAUCUAGCAACAUCUCAUGCGUUUGAGUAGUUAGGAUUGAAUCUCUCUAUCGCUUCAUGCAAUUAACAAUUGUUUUGAUGCCUAAGGCCCAAGGACGUUCCUUGGCAAUUUGUUAAUUAGUAAUUAAUUAGAGGAUGUUCCCUAAUUGGUUUAAUCAUAAGGAGAGACAUGGUGGUGAGAAGUGUCUUCCAUCUCCAUAACUAAUCUAUUGAAUCAAUCAAAAGAAACUAAGUGUCAAUGAUCAAUCCUAACAACUGAAGUGGAUCCAAUUCUUCAACUAGAGCUUUCUUAUUAUUUAUUUCUCUUUUAUUUUAUUAUUCGCUUAUUUUAAUUGCUUUCAGUAGUUUGUUAAUCAAAUCAAUUUCAAACCCCCCAUUUUACUUUUACUGCAAUUUAUUUUUAUUCCGCUUUCAGUUUAUCUCGUUUUCAAUUUUAUCUCGUUUUAGUUUAUUUUGCUUUUAGUUUAUUUCGCUUUCAGUUUAUUUUGCUUUCUGUUUAUUUUGCUUUCAGUUUGUUUUGCUUUCCGUUUAUCUCAUUUCAGUUUAUUUCUC